GCACGCCAGAUAGCAUCACCUGGCGAUCUGGGUUCCUCAAACGCUUUCUGGGAAAGAUUUCUUCUUUUCUACCUCUUUUUCGCUUUGGCAGGUUUCGGUUCUCCCUCCUUUUCCUUUUCCUUUUCGUCACUGUUUUAGUAUCUGUUUGCAAAGCUUCCCUCCCUUUUCUCUUCCUCUACCCGCAUCUGGAGCCCCUCCCUCCUCCUCCUUCCUUCCUUCCUUCCUUCUCCUUCGCUUCCCACGUUUUUCGUUUCUCCUUUUCUCGAGUGGGGGCAUCGGAAUAGACAGCGGGAAUAAAUUCCAUCUCUGCAUAGUACGAGGAUUCCGGCUUAAAAUAUUGGGACGACAGCACCCUAACACCCUCUCUCUCUCUCUCUCCCUCUCUCCGUUUCUGGGGUUCCAAGAUUUCGCCUGCCGAUCACUCACUGGUCGCCGCUGAUGCGAAAAUCUGUGCAAAGUUUGCUUUUUUUUUUUUUCUUGUUCUCUCUCUCUCUCUCUCUCUGCUCUUUGCUUGCCGGAGCUGAAGUGGAUCUCAAGAUCGCUCCUUUUCCGCUCCGGCGCCGGCGCCGCUCCAGAUUCGCAAAAGGGUGUGCGCUGAUUCGUCGUCUGGUUUGAAGCGUUCGAAGCAAUGCCCUCAGAUCAUAUACGAGGUAGGUCUCGCAAUCUGGCUCCAUGAGAAUGGGAUCUCAAGGGGGUGGUUUCGGCGGCGGCGCGGUUCCGCUGUCGAGGCAGGGCUCUCUCUACGGCCUCACGCUCGAUGAGGUCCAAAGCCAGCUGGGGGGUUUGGGGAAACCGCUGGGAAGCAUGAAUCUGGACGAGCUUCUCAAGAGCGUGUGGAGUGUGGAGGCCAAUCAAGGCCCGAAUGCGGGCGCUGCCGACCCCGAGGGUAUGCAAUCCGGCCUACUCGCGCCGCUGCAGAGGCAGCCGAGCUACACGCUCUCGAGGGCUCUCAGCAAGAAGACUGUCGAUGAGGUGUGGAAAGAUAUUCAACAGGGCGAGAUUGAUGAUGGUAGUGAUAAGAGUAAGAAGAAGAAGAAGGAUAGCGGUCCUGGUGACCAAGAUCCAAAGCCUUCAUUGGGUGAGAUGACACUUGAGGACUUCUUGCACAAGGCAGGAGUGGUGGCUGAAUCUCCCGUGAUCGACAUGAACGGGAGUCAUGUUUUAGGGGUUGAUUCUGUGAAUAGUGGCGGUCCUCAAAGUGCUCAGUGGAUGCAUUACCAGCUCCCUUCAGUUCAGCCGCAACAAAACGUGGUGCCGGUCUUCAUUCCAGGCCACCAUGUGGUCCAGCAUCCCGUCCCAAUCAUCGCGAGUCCCUUUCUGGAUUCGGCAUUCGGGGAUGCGGCGCAGAUGACUGUAUCGCCCUCCUCCCUGUUGGGCACAUUAUCGGAUACCCCGACCUCGAGGCGCAAAAGAGUUGCCCCAGGAGAUGUGGUGGAGAAGACUGUGGAGAGGAGGCAAAAAAGGAUGAUUAAGAACAGGGAAUCUGCGGCUCGGUCUCGUGCGAGGAAGGAGGCAUAUACACAAGAGUUGGAGAAUAAGGUUUCCCGCCUAGAGGAGGAAAACGAAAGACUAAGAAGAAAGCUGAUGAGUGAUUUUAUUCUAGAGGAGCAUUCAGUUGCAGUGACAAGGCAUUGAUACAUUUUUCCUUAUCUGGUACUAUAUUGUUCUGUGGCCAGAACUGGUUUUUACUCUGUUUGGAGGCAGAGAAAGUGUUGCCAUCCACACCUCCUGCCGAGCCGAAGAAUCAGCUCCGAAGAACUAGUUCGGCCCCACUUUAACAAUGUACCAUACAUGACUGCUAGGGAUGAGACUAGGCCUAACCUCUGUUGUUUCUUUGACUGACUUCAGCACGUCGAUCUCCUCAAUUAUUUCAAGUCGAUGCUUCGAUGCUCUGCUGACUGCAGUUCGUACUUCUAGGAUUGCGCAUUUUCUUCUGCCGGUUCUAAUUGUCUUUGGUGUCCUUCUAUGGUGUUUACUGUAUGUACAUUAAUUAUGAUAGCCCAGUUUUUGCAGCAUUAUAGAUGACAAAACUUCUCCUU